UUAAAGGACCUGAUUCAAAAUCCCACUGAAGUUAAUGGAAGUCUUUCCAUUGACUUCAGUGGGAUUUGAAUCAGGCCCUUAAA
rnacentral:pre_miRNA from 1 species